AUUGAACGCUGGCGGCAGGCCUAACACAUGCAAGUCGAGCGGAUGAAGGGAGCUUGCUCCUGGAUUCAGCGGCGGACGGGUGAGUAAUGCCUAGGAAUCUGCCUGGUAGUGGGGGAUAACGUCUGGAAACGGGCGCUAAUACCGCAUACGUCCUGAGGGAGAAAGUGGGGGAUCUUCGGGCCUCACGCUAUCAGAUGAGCCUAGGUCGGAUUAGCUAGUUGGUGGGGUAAAGGCCUACCAAGGCGACGAUCCGUAACUGGUCUGAGAGGAUGAUCAGUCACACUGGAACUGAGACACGGUCCAGACUCCUACGGGAGGCAGCAGUGGGGAAUAUUGGACAAUGGGCGAAAGCCUGAUCCAGCCAUGCCGCGUGUGUGAAGAAGGUCUUCGGAUUGUAAAGCACUUUAAGUUGGGAGGAAGGGCAGUAAGUUAAUACCUUGCUGUUUUGACGUUACCAACAGAAUAAGCACCGGCUAACUUCGUG
rnacentral:rRNA from 1 species